rnacentral:rRNA from 1 species
CCUACGGGUGGCAGCAGUAGGGAAUCUUUCACAAUGGGAGAAAGCCUGAUGGAGCAACGCCGCGUGCAGGAUGAAGGCCUUCGGGUUGUAAACUGCUUUUAUAAGCGAGAAAUAUGAUGGAAACUUAUGAAUAAGGAUCGGCUAACUACGUGCCAGCAGCCGCGGUCAUACGUAGGAUCCGAGCAUUAUCCGGAGUGACUGGGUGUAAAGAGUUGCGUAGGUGGCAUAAUAAGUAGCUAGUGAAAUCUGGUGGCUCAACCAUUCAGACUAUUAGCUAAACUGUUAAGCUCGAGACCGUUAGGGGUAACUGGAAUUUCUAGUGUAGGAGUGAAAUCCGUAGAUAUUAGAAGGAACACCAAUAGCGUAGGCAGGUUGCUGGGACGGUUCUGACACUAAGGCACGAAAGCGUAGGGAGCAAACGGGAUUAGAUACCCCAGUAGUC